UACGGAGGAUCCAAGCGUUAUCCGGAAUCAUUGGGUUUAAAGGGUCCGUAGGCGGUUUUAUAAGUCAGUGGUGAAAUCCGGCAGCUCAACUGUCGAACUGCCAUUGAUACUGUAGAACUUGAAUUAUUAUGAAGUAACUAGAAUAUGUAGUGUAGCGGUGAAAUGCUUAGAUAUUACAUGGAAUACCAAUUGCGAAGGCAGGUUACUAAUAAUGAAUUGACGCUGAUGGACGAAAGCGUGGGGAGCGAACAGG
rnacentral:rRNA from 1 species